rnacentral:rRNA from 1 species
AAUUUAUAAGAAUGGUGGAACAUGUGGUUUAAUUCGAUAAUCCACGAAAAAUCUUACUAAUAUAUUUUUUUUUUUUAUUAAUAUUAUUAUUAUUAUAAAAUUUUAAAAAAUUAUAGGUAUUGCAUGGCUGUCGUCAGUUCGUAGUGUGAAGUGUAGAGUUAAUUCUUUAUAUAGUACGAACGUAAUCUUUUUUUAAUUAUAAUAUUUUUUUAUAUAUUAAUAUAAAGUUGAAGUCAAGUCAAUAUGGUCUAUAUAUAUUAGGCUACACACGUGUUACAAAGAUAAAAACAAAAAGUUACAAAAGUGUAAACUAUAGUAAAUCUUUAAAAAUUAUCUUAGUUCGGAUUAUUUUUUGAAACUCAAAAAUAUAAAGUUGGAAUCAUUAGUAAUUAUAUUUUAUUAUAGUAUAGUGAAUGUACUUAAAUUCUGCACACACUGCCCAUCACGCUUGGAAAAUAUAAUAUUAUUAAAGUUAUUUUUUAUUUAAAAAAUUAAAGAAUUUUUUUAAAAAUAAAAAAAUAAUUAAAUUAAUUUUAUGUAAUUU